rnacentral:lncRNA from 1 species
UUGGCUAUUUUAUAGAUCAAAAAUAGGUUGAUUUCAAUUAAGAAUGUCAUCUUUUCUUUUUUUAAUCCAGGAGAAAGAUCCUGGCAUAUUGGAAGAAAAAAGAAGCACAUAAACAGAGAAGCUCUCUUUCCCGGGAACAACUUCUUGGUCCUGGCUGAAAAGUCUAUGUUCUUCUACUGCAAGGAACAUGCAGGCAUGAUUCCAGCCACACCAGAAUCUUCCAGCAUAAAAAUAAUGCCCACAGAGGGAGAAAUGUUGAAGGUGCAGCAAAAGGAAGGUCUUCUGUUCUGCUGAGUUGGAGGAAUGAGGGUGACAGUGAUGUCCCCACAUGAGGUUUGUAUACUGAGCCUGGACAGUGAAGUAAUGGGACAAUUCUUUCCUGUAUUUACAUGCAGUUUCUCUUAAAUUCAUGGCUGG